GAGUUUGAUCCUGGCUCAGGAUGAACGCUGGCGGCGUGCCUAACACAUGCAAGUCGAACGAAGCUUGAGGAAUGAUUUCUUCGGAAUGAAUUCUGAUAUGACUUAGUGGCGGACGGGUGAGUAACACGUGAGCAACCUGCCUUUCAGAGGGGGAUAACGGCUGGAAACGGUCGCUAAUACCGCAUGAAAUGUUUGGAUGGCAUCAUCAGAACAUCAAAGAUUUAUCGCUGAAAGAUGGGCUCGCGUCUGAUUAGAUAGUUGGUGAGGUAACGGCUCACCAAGUCGACGAUCAGUAGCCGGACUGAGAGGUUGAACGGCCACAUUGGGACUGAGAUACGGCCCAGACUCCUACGGGAGGCAGCAGUGGGGAAUAUUGCACAAUGGGGGAAACCCUGAUGCAGCAACGCCGCGUGAAGGAAGACGGUUUUCGGAUUGUAAACUUCUUUUCUUUGUGAAGAAACAAAUGACGGUAGCAAAGGAAUAAGCAUCGGCUAACUACGUGCCAGCAGCCGCGGUAAUACGUAGGAUGCAAGCGUUAUCCGGAUUUACUGGGUGUAAAGGGAGCGCAGGCGGGACUUCAAGUUGGAUGUGAAAGGUCAAGGCUUAACCUUGGCACUGCAUCCAAAACUGUAGUUCUUGAGUGGAGUAGAGGUAAGCGGAAUUCCGAGUGUAGCGGUGAAAUGCGUAGA
rnacentral:rRNA from 1 species